rnacentral:rRNA from 1 species
AGAUUGAACGCUGGCGGCAUGCUUUACACAUGCAAGUCGAACGGCAGCGCGGGGCAACCUGGCGGCGAGUGGCGAACGGGUGAGUAAUAUAUCGGAACGUACCCAAGAGUGGGGGAUAACGUAGCGAAAGUUACGCUAAUACCGCAUACGAUCCAAGGAUAGAAAGUCAAGGGGAUGCGCUUGCGCACCGUUGUGCUCCGUGGAGCGGCCGUAUAUCGUAGAUUAGCGUAGUGGUAGGGUAAAGGCCGUACCGAAGGCAU